rnacentral:pre_miRNA from 1 species
AAUGAUUCUCUGUUGAUCUGAUAAAUAAUGUCUCCGGGCAUAUUUCUGUAUUGUGAUAACAUGUACAGUUUGGAUGUUUCAUAAUUUGUCGGAUGAACAGGGAAUCAUUCUUU